CGAACGCUGGCGGCGUGCGUUACACAUGCAAGUCGAACGCUGAAGCUCAGCUUGCUGGGUGGAUGAGUGGCGAACGGGGGAGUAACACGGGGGUAACCUGCCCUCUUCUUUGGGAUAACGCCCGGGAACGGGGGCUAAUACUGGAUAUUCACUGAUUCUCGCAUGGGGGGUGGGGGAAAGGGUUUUUCUGGUGGGGGAUGGGCUCGCGGCCUAUCAGCUUGUUGGUGGGGGGAUGGCCUACCCAGGCUUUGACGGGUAGCCGGGCUGAGAGGGUGACCGGGCACAUUGGGACUGAGAUACGGCCCAGACUCCUACGGGAGGCAGCAGUGGGGAAUAUUGCACAAUGGGCGAAAGCCUGAUGCAGCGACGCCGCGUGAGGGAUGGAGGCCUUCGGGUUGUAAACCUCUUUCGCUCAUGGUCAAGCCGCAGCUUUGGGUUGUGGUGAGGGUAGUGGGUAAAGAAGCGCCGGCUAACUACGUG
rnacentral:rRNA from 1 species